GAUGAACGCUGGCGGCAUGCCUAACACAUGCAAGUCGAUCGGUAAGGCUCUUCGGAGUACACGAGAGGCGGACGGCUGAGUAACGCGUAGGAACACACCCUGCAGUGAGGGAUAAGACACCGAAAGGUGUUCUAAUACCGCAUACGGUCUUCGGAUUAAAGCAUUUAUGCGCUGAAGGAGUGGCCUGCGUCAUAUUAGAUAGUUGGUGAGGUAAUGGCUCACCAAGUCGAUGAUGUGUAGCUGGUCUGAGAGGAUGAUCAGCCAGACUGGAACUGAGACACGGUCCAGACUCCUACGGGAGGCAGCAGUGAGGAAUAUUUCACAAUGAGCGAAAGCUUGAUGGAGCAAUGCCGCGUGCAGGAUGAAGGCCCUCGGGUUGUAAACUGCUUUUAUAAGAGAAGAUUAUGACGGUAACUGAUGAAUAAGGGACGGCUAACUACGUG
rnacentral:rRNA from 1 species